UUUUAUUUUGAUACUCUGAACGGCUGGGUCUUCGUGUGACGUCAUAACCCUGCGCCCUGCGCUUCUCUAAUGUCCGCUGAAUAAAAGGAAAAGCCAGAGGUUUAUCGAUCGAGAUCUGCCUAACGAUGGAGUAUAUUAAAGUGGAGAUUGUGGAUCUGACAGAUCUAGAACCAUUCAGAGUGAAAGAAGAAGAAACUGAGGAACAAAGUGACCUGCUUGAAGUGGAAGAGGAAAGUCAAGAUCAGAAUGAAGUGGAGAAAAAUCAGUAUCAGGAGCCUCAUAGCUUCUCAACGGGAGAAAAUUCACAAAUGGAAAACGACUUGACAAAAAGUCCAGGGGCCAAAAAAUCAUUUGGAUGCCCACAUUGUGGAAAGAGUUACAAAUGUAAAGAAGACCUAAAGGAUCACAUGACAAUCCACAGUGAGAGGCCGUACACAUGCCUUCAGUGUGGAAAGAGUUACACGCAAAAAAUCAACCUUCAGAAUCACUUGUUAAUUCACAAUGGAGACAAGCCUUUCACAUGCUCUCAGUGUGAGAAGAGCUUCACACGCAAGGGAGACCUGAAGAAACACAUAAUAGUUCAUUUUGGAGAGAGGCCUUUCACAUGCCAUCAGUGUGGGAAUAAUUUCAGACAUCAAGGAAACCUAACAAGUCACAUGAAGAUUCAUACUGGUGAAAAAUCAAAUCGAAGUCCUCACAGCGAUAAGAAACUUGCGCAAGUGUGCAAUUUUAAAACUCCUGUGCUCUAUCAUGCUGGAACGAUGCCCUUUAAAUGUGAUCAUUGUGGUCAGAGAUUUAUCUUGUCGGCACACUUAAAAAGACACCUGAGAUGGCAUGCAAAGGAGAAAUCUUGAGCAUGAUCCCUCCGUGGAAAGAUGCCUUAGUGAGUUUAAAAGAACCAUAAACUAUACUGUCUAAAAGUUUGUGUGUGUGUGUUUUGGGUAUGGGAAUGCAGCAUUGUUUAAAUUAGUGAUGGCAAAAUGCUUUCUUUUUUAGGUCCAGCAGAUUUAAGAAAAUAUUGAGAAAUAUAAAGAGCAGUUUUAUCUAAGAGGCAAGUUUAUUAAAAUGACCUGUAGUCACAAAGAUUGUUUGUUCCAUGACAACUGAAGGACAACUGAAGUCAAAUUAUAUAUAUAUAAAAAAAUAAUAUAUCAAAAUAUUAAUUCGGAAAACUAUUACCAAUGCUUUUAUGUUGGGACUAGAAGUUGUAAAUCAUAUUAAUUGUAAAUACAUUCAUUGUACAAGAGGGCACUUGUUAAAUAUUAUAUCUUUCUCUGUGUUAGUUUAAGCGUUCAGUUUAGUUAAUCAUAGCUGUUGAGAAGUGGUGUGUGGAGAACUGAGGUAUACUUGUAAUGAGAUCUUUUAACAGACCAUGAUUUACUAUUACUGAAAAUCCCGAAUAAAAAGAUGCUUGCCUGAGCAUGGUAAUUGCGUAACCGAGCGCCGUUGACUUAAAAGUUCACACUAUUUCAUCGAAAUAACUAUCGAAUGAAAACACAGUAGUAAUUGAUUUGAAUUGAGCUGAAUAAUGCUACAUUUUCUUCUCUAGAGGUGCUUUUUAGUCAUUUGAAGUGGAUUUUUUGUUUCCUUAUUGAAUAAUUUUGCAACAUUGAUGAUUUGAUAAUAUGGUUUGAUUUGAUGCUGUUUUUUUCCUGUUUAUUACUGUAAAGCUGUUCAGAAGCAACCUGUAUUGUAUAAAGUGCUAUAUAAAUAAAUGUGACUCCACAAGCA